UAUUUAACGUUGAGAGGGAUUAGUAGUUAAGUGAAACGUCCAGAGAGCGUGUGGUUAGUGCGAACACGUCGUUGAACUUAGCGAACUCACCUUUGAGUUUUCUAUUGAAAUCAAGUAGAUAGAAACGUCAGCCACGUUACGGCCAGAGAGUUGCUCAGUUUGAACUGGGCAGAACUUAGGUGGCAUCGCGGUCAAUUCGUCCUAUGG
rnacentral:ncRNA from 2 species